UGCUUCGAUGACACAAUGCCACCACCAC
rnacentral:piRNA from 1 species